rnacentral:rRNA from 1 species
GACGAACGCUGGCGGCGUGCUUAACACAUGCCAGUCGAACGGAAAGGCCCUGCUUUUGUGGGGUGCUCGAGUGGCGAACGGGUGAGUAACACGUGAGUAACCUGCCCUUGACUUUGGGAUAACUUCAGGAAACUGGGGCUAAUACCGGAUAGGAGCUCCUGCUGCAUGGUGGGGGUUGGAAAGUUUCGGCGGUUGGGGAUGGACUCGCGGCUUAUCAGCUUGUUGGUGGGGUAGUGGCUUACCAAGGCUUUGACGGGUAGCCGGCCUGAGAGGGUGACCGGGCACAUUGGGACUGAGAUACGGCCCAGACUCCUACGGGAGGCAGCAGUGGGGAAUAUUGCACAAUGGGCGGAAGCCUGAUGCAGCAACGCCGCGUGCGGGAUGACGGCCUUCGGGUUGUAAACCGCUUUCGCCUGUGACGAAGCGUGAGUGACGGUAAUGGGUAAAGAAGCACCGGCUAACUACGUG